rnacentral:rRNA from 1 species
CCUACGGGUGGCUGCAGUGAGGAAUAUUGGUCAAUGGCCGUAAGGCUGAACCAGCCAAGUCGCGUGAAGGAAGAAGGACCUAUGGUUUGUAAACUUCUUUUAUAGGGGAAUAAAGUUAUCCACGUGUGGAUAUUUGCAUGUACCCUAUGAAUAAGCACCGGCUAACUCCGUGCCAGCAGCCGCGGGAAUACGGAGGGUGCGGGCGUUAAUCGGAAUUACUGGGGGUAAAGCGCUGGUAGGCGGUAUGUCAAGUCAAGGGGGAAAUCCCCGCGCUCAACGUGGGAGCUGCCUUUGAAACUGGCAAACUGGAGUGUGUGAGAGGAUAGUGGAAUUCCAGGUGUAGGAGUGAAAUCCGUAGAUAGCAGGAGGAACAUCAGUGGCGAAGGCGACUAUCUGGCACAUAACUGACGCUGAGGAGCGAAAGCGUGGGUAGCAAACAGGAUUAGAUACCCGAGUAGUC